rnacentral:rRNA from 1 species
GACGAACGCUGGCGGCGCGCUUAACACAUGCAAGUCGAACGGAAAGGCCUGCUUUCCCUUGUGGAUUGCGGGUACUCGAGUGGCGAACGGGUGAGUAACACGUGAGUGAUCUGCCCCCAACUUGGGUAUAAGCCUGGGAAACUGGGUCUAAUUCCCGAUAGGACUGCAGGGUGGUGCCUGUGGUGGAAAACGAUUUUCUAGUGGUUGGGGAUGAGCUCGCGGCCUAUCAGCUUGUUGGUGGGGUAAUGGCCUACCAAGGCGGCGACGGGUAGCCGGCCUGGGAGGGUGGACGGCCACAUUGGGACUGAGAUACGGCCCAGACUACUACGGGAGGCAGCAGUGGGGAAUAGUGCACAAUGGGCGGAAGCCUGAUGCAGCGACGCCGCGUGGGGGAUGACGGCCUUCGGGUUGUAAACUCCUUUCGACCGCGAGGAAGCCACCUGGUGGGAAGGGUGGUGACGGUAGUGGUAGAAGAAGCACCGGCUAACUACGU